UCGAGCGAGUGGCGAACGGGUGAGUAACGCGUGAGGAACCUGCCUCAAAGAGGGGGACAACAGUUGGAAACGACUGCUAAUACCGCAUAAGCCCACAGGUCGGCAUCGACCAGAGGGAAAAGGAGCAAUCCGCUUUGAGAUGGCCUCGCGUCCGAUUAGCUAGUUGGUGAGGUAAUGGCCCACCAAGGCGACGAUCGGUAGCCGGACUGAGAGGUUGAACGGCCACAUUGGGACUGAGACACGGCCCAGACUCCUACGGGAGGCAGCAGUGGGGAAUAUUGCACAAUGGGGGAAACCCUGAUGCAGCGACGCCGCGUGGAGGAAGAAGGUCUUCGGAUUGUAAACUCCUGUUGUUGAGGAAGAUAAUGACGGUACUCAACAAGGAAGUGACGGCUAACUACGUGCCAGCAGCCGCGGUAAAACGUAGGUCACAAGCGUUGUCCGGAAUUACUGGGUGUAAAGGGAGCGCAGGCGGGAAGACAAGUUGGAAGUGAAAUCUAUGGGCUCAACCCAUAAACUGCUUUCAAAACUGUUUUUCUUGAGUAGUGCAGAGGUAGGCGGAAUUCCCGGUGUAGCGGUGGAAUGCGUAGAUAUCGGGAGGAA
rnacentral:rRNA from 1 species